AAGUCGUAACAAGGUUUCUGUAGGUGAACCUGCGGAAGGAUCAUUAAAGAGACGUUGCCCUUCGGGGUAUACCUCCCACCCAUUGUUUAUUAUACCUUUGUUGCUUUGGCAGACCCGGCUUCGGCCCACCGGCUCCGGCUGGUCAGUGUCUGCCAAAGGACCUAAAACUCUGUUUGUUAAUAUUGUCUGAGUACUAUAUAAUAGUUAAAA
rnacentral:misc_RNA from 1 species